GAGGGGAAGAUGAAAAGAACUUUGAAGAGAGAGUUCAAGAGUGCGUGAAACCGUUCGGAGGUAAACGGGUGGGACCUCGAAGGUCGAACGGAUGGGGAGGGAUUCAACUCGCUGCCGUGGCACCCAAGCCGUAGUGAUUGCAUUCCAGACUCCGGCCUGGUUGCCCUACGUGCAGUGGAGUGCCAUCGUUGUAGCGGGUGCAUUUCCCGGCACCCCCUUCCUAGUAGGACGCCGCGACCGGUUGGAAUGUUGAACGCGGGAGACCAGGAGCGGGGCCAACGGUAGCUGCACAGGUGCAUUUGGUCGGUGGCAUUUAUUUGCUCCCCGCCGUACCUGCUUGUCUGGCCAGGCCAUGGCGUAGUGUCUCUCACUCCGACCGAGGUGUUCAGUGCGCAUUGGCUUCCUGCAAAGGCCAUGCGUCGAUUAUCGUGCCCUGCAUCCCUUUGCUCGGGUAGAAGGAGUCCGCCGGGUGGUGUCGGUCUGUCGGGUGUAGUGGUCCUUCGUGGCUGCCACCUGUGCAAGACUUUGGCAACUUCCGGCAGCAAGGACGCAGGCUCCCGGCUUUGGGCAUUGUAGGUUUAGCGGCGAGUAGGAUGUCCCCG
rnacentral:rRNA from 1 species